GAUGAACGCUGGCGGCGUGCCUAAUACAUGCAAGUCGAGCGAACAGAUGAGGAGCUUGCUCCUCUGACGUUAGCGGCGGACGGGUGAGUAACACGUGGAUAACCUACCUAUAAGACUGGGAUAACUUCGGGAAACCGGAGCUAAUACCGGAUAAUAUAUUGAACCGCAUGGUUCAAUAGUGAAAGACGGUUUUGCUGUCACUUAUAGAUGGAUCCGCGCCGCAUUAGCUAGUUGGUAAGGUAACGGCUUACCAAGGCAACGAUGCGUAGCCGACCUGAGAGGGUGAUCGGCCACACUGGAACUGAGACAAGGUCCAGACUCCUACGGGAGGCAGCAGUAGGGAAUCUUCCGCAAUGGGCGAAAGCCUGACGGAGCAACGCCGCGUGAGUGAUGAAGGUCUUCGGAUCGUAAAACUCUGUUAUUAGGGAAGAACAAAUGUGUAAGUAACUAUGCACGUCUUGACGGUACCUAAUCAGAAAGCCACGGCUAACUACGUG
rnacentral:rRNA from 1 species